rnacentral:rRNA from 1 species
CCUACGGGGGGGAGCAGUGAGGAAUAUUGGUCAAUGGACGAGAGUCUGAACCAGCCAAGUAGCGUGAAGGAUGACUGCCCUAUGGGUUGUAAACUUCUUUUAUAUGGGAAUAAAAUGUUCCACGUGUGGGAUUUUGUAUGUACCAUAUGAAUAAGGAUCGGCUAACUCCGUGCCAGCAGCCGCGGUAAUACGGAGGAUCCGAGCGUUAUCCGGAUUUAUUGGGUUUAAAGGGAGCGUAGGUGGAUUGUUAAGUCAGUUGUGAAAGUUUGCGGCUCAACCGUAAAAUUGCAGUUGAAACUGGCAGUCUUGAGUACAGUAGAGGUGGGCGGAAUUCGUGGUGUAGCGGUGAAAUGCUUAGAUAUCACGAAGAACUCCGAUUGCGAAGGCAGUUCACUGGACUGCAACUGACACUGAGGCUCGAAAGUGUGGGUAUCAAACAGGAUUAGAUACCCUAGUC